CAAACAUGGGGUCUGAUGGAGGCUCUCUGUGAAGAAGAUCCAGUUGAAGAGUUGUCAUCACGUUCUGGAUGUAGAAUUUGUCAUGUGUGGAGAGGACAAGACAGAAAAUUGGAGAAAAAGAAUGGUGAAUAAUAGGACAAUCUUCUGGAAGACAAGAAUUUUGAGGUCUCUUUGUCCAAAGUUGUUUCCACCUUUCAGCAGAAAUGCCAAGACUUUGUGGAAAAUAAAACAUACAGCCUCACAGAGCCAGCAUGACUCUGUGCACCUCAAAAUAAUAUACUGUAGUCAAGGUUAGUUUCCUACUGUAAAAAAGCACAUGACGCUAAUUAUACAGGCUAGAUUAAUAGACAUGGGAUUGCAGGUUGGCAACUCAUCUACUUUAAACUCUCCAGGAGCUUCUGAAUAUCUAUAGCUCUCACACAUUGUAUAUACCUAUCAUGUGUUUGUAUCAUAAUUAAGGGUUUGGGAAGAUUUAGAAUUAAAUUGGGGUUAUAUUUAGGGUUGACUAGGUGUGAGAAAGUAUUGAGCUAAUCUAUGCCAACCAUCCAAACCACCAGCAUUGGGGGUGAAGGAUAAAAUUGGAUUAAGUGAAAAUCUGCCUCAGCACUGGAUAUGAAAUCAACAAAUGAUUAAAAACAAUUUAACAUUAUCCAAGAACUCUGAAGUUUGCUGUUUUGUGUGGUCAUCAUUUUCUUUCUGCUUUAAAUAUACAGAUCUAUACUAAAGCACCCCGACAAAGGUGAACAGGACAAAAUCACAGAACAAACAUGAAUGUGCACCUGUGCAUGUUCUUUGUGUGAAGUGUAUAUGCACUGUCAAUGCAUAUGUUUUUGCACCAGGUCAAAUUCCUAGUACAUGUAAUGUACUUAGCAAAUAAAGUGAUCCUU